CUCCUACGGGAGGCAGCAGUGGGGAAUAUUGCACAAUGGGCGCAAGCCUGAUGCAGCCAUGCCGCGUGUGAAGAAGGCCUUCGGGUUGUAAAGCACUUUCAGCGAGGAGGAAGGGUAGUGUGUUAAUAGCACAUUGCAUUGACGUUACUCGCAGAAGAAGCACCGGCUAACUCCGUGCCAGCAGCCGCGGUAAUACGGAGGGUGCGAGCGUUAAUCGGAAUCACUGGGCGUAAAGCGCGCGUAGGCGGCGAUGUAAGUCAGGGGUGAAAUCCCACGGCCCACCCGUGGAACUGCCCUUGAUACUGCGGGGCUUGAGUGUGUGAGAGGAUAGCGGAAUUCCUGGUGUAGGAGUGAAAUCCGUAGAGAUCAGGAGGAACAUCAGUGGCGAAGGCGGCUAUCUGGCACAAUACUGACGCUGAGGUGCGAAAGCGUGGGUAUCAAACAGGAUUAGAUACCCUGGUAGUCCACACUGUAAACGAUGGAUACUAGGUGUAGGGAGGGAUUCCUUUCUGUGCCGAACGCUAACGCAAUAAGUAUCCCACCUGGGGAGUACGACCGCAAGGUUGAAACUCAAAGGAAUUGACGGGGGCCCGCACAAGCAGUGGAGUAUGUGGUUUAAUUCGAAGCAACGCGAAGAAUCUUACCAAGGUUUGACAUGCAGAUGAAUAUACAAGAGAUUGUAUAGUCCUUCGGGACGUCUGUGCAGGUGGUGCAUGGUUGUCGUCAGCUCGUGUCGUGAGAUGUUGGGUUAAGUCCCGCAACGAGCGCAACCCUUAUCCUUUGUUGCCAGCACGUAAUGGUGGGAACUCAAAGGAGACUGCCGGUGAUAAACCGGAGGAAGGUGGGGAUGACGUCAAGUCAUCAUGGCCCUUUACGAGUAGGGCUACACACGUGCUACAAUGGCGUAUACAAAGAGAAGCGAACUCACGAGAGCAAGCGGACCUCAUAAAGUACGUCGUAGUCCGGAUCGGAGUCUGCAACUCGACUCCGUGAAGUCGGAAUCGCUAGUAAUCGUAGAUCAGAAUGCUACGGUGAAUACGUUCCCGGGCCUUGUACACACCGCCCGU
rnacentral:rRNA from 1 species